rnacentral:rRNA from 1 species
CAGUCGCCGCGGUAAUACGAAGGGUGCAAGCGUUAAUCGGAAUUACUGGGCGUAAAGCGUGCGCAGGCGGUUUGUUAAGUCUGCUGUGAAAUCCCCGGGCUCAACCUGGGAAUGGCAGUGGAUACUGGCAAGCUAGAGUGUGUCAGAGGAUGGUGGAAUUCCCGGUGUAGCGGUGAAAUGCGUAGAGAUCGGGAGGAACAUCAGUGGCGAAGGCGGCCAUCUGGGACAACACUGACGCUGAGGCACGAAAGCGUGGGGAGCAAACAGGAUUAGAUACCCCCGUAGUCCCUGUCUCUUAUAA